CAGUUGUGCCUUAGCAGCAUAUAAAUAUUGGAGUUAUCAUUAGUAAAGUGUCUCCAGUAUCAGUUGUGCUGCUAAAGUAAGGCUGUUCU
rnacentral:pre_miRNA from 1 species